GAUGAACGCUGGCGGCGUGCCUAAUACAUGCAAGUCGAAUGCAUAGCGAAAGGUGCUUGCACCUUUCAAGUGAGUGGCGAACGGGUGAGUAACACGUGGACAACCUGCCUCAAGGCUGGGGAUAACAUUUGGAAACAGAUGCUAAUACCGAAUAAAACUUAGUGUCGCAUGACACAAAGUUAAAAGGCGCUUCGGCGUCACCUAGAGAUGGAUCCGCGGUGCAUUAGUUAGUUGGUGGGGUAAAGGCCUACCAAGACAAUGAUGCAUAGCCGAGUUGAGAGACUGAUCGGCCACAUUGGGACUGAGACACGGCCCAAACUCCUACGGGAGGCUGCAGUAGGGAAUCUUCCACAAUGGGCGAAAGCCUGAUGGAGCAACGCCGCGUGUGUGAUGAAGGCUUUCGGGUCGUAAAGCACUGUUGUAUGGGAAGAACAGCUAGAAUAGGAAAUGAUUUUAGUUUGACGGUACCAUACCAGAAAGGGACGGCUAAAUACGUG
rnacentral:rRNA from 1 species